CGUGUGAACGGGACCCUAGUUUUAAUUAUAAGAUUUUCUUUAAAUUACAAAUAAUUUUUUCUUUAUUUCAGAAAAUGAGAGCCAUUGUAAGAAUAGAUGAAAGUGUAAAAGCUUUGCGUGAAAAAAUGCAACAGGAGGCUGUAAAACCAAACGAACUCUAUAAACUGUAGUUAACGAUGAGAAUAAAACUGUAAAUGGGGUGUGGGGCUUUUGUUAAGUUUAUUUUAUAUUUACGUUUCAUACAAAUGCAAAAACACGCUUAUAUUGUCAUAGAUAUCUCUACAGUAUAGCGCAAAUAUUCGGCAAUAUUUAUAAAUUAAUUUAAGUAAACGGCCAUUGGUUUUUAAGAUCAUCACUGUGUGCAUUGUUUUUAGAAACCAGAUACUAGCUUUGAAAUGCUGACAUUUGCCGAAUAUACAUAUGAAUAUCAUUAAAACUGAAUCACUGUUGCGCUAUUGCUCCAAAGUAAAAACAUAUUUGUACAUAAUAAAAAGUAGUUAAUUAAAAAUCUUACAAUCGACAUAAAUUUGUGUGUUUGUAAAAUAAGAAAAUUAUAAUGAAUUCAAUGUAGCUAUAUAAGCAUUAAAUUGUAAAGUUUUAUUGUAAAUGAAUCUAUGUUCAGUACUUGAAGCAAUAAAAAUUUGUGAAAUUGAAGAAAA